UACGUAGGGGGCUAGCGUUGUCCGGAAUCAUUGGGCGUAAAGAGCUCGUAGGCGGUCUGUCGCGUCGGAUGUGAAAACCCAGGGCUCAACCCUGGGCCUGCAUUCGAUACGGGCAGACUAGAGUUCGGUAGGGGAGACUGGAAUUCCUGGUGUAGCGGUGAAAUGCGCAGAUAUCAGGAGGAACACCGGUGGCGAAGGCGGGUCUCUGGGCCGAAACUGACGCUGAGGAGCGAAAGCCAGGGGAGCAAACGGG
rnacentral:rRNA from 1 species